rnacentral:rRNA from 2 species
AGGCCUAACACAUGCAAGUCGUACGAGAAGGUUCCUUCGGGAACUGGAGAGUGGCGCACGGGUGAGUAACGCGUGGGGACCUACCUCUUAGUGGGGGAUAACGGUUGGAAACGACCGCUAAUACCGCAUACGCCCUUCGGGGGAAAGAUUUAUCGCUAAGAGAUGGACCCGCGUUGGAUUAGAUAGUUGGUGAGGUAACGGCUCACCAAGUCAGCGAUCCAUAGCUGGUUUGAGAGGAUGAUCAGCCACACUGGGACUGAGACACGGCCCAGACUCCUACGGGAGGCAGCAGUGGGGAAUAUUGGACAAUGGGCGCAAGCCUGAUCCAGCCAUGCCGCGUGAGUGAAGAAGGCCUUCGGGUUGUAAAGCUCUUUCAGAUGCGAAGAUGAUGACGGUAACAUCAGAAGAAGCCCCGGCUAAUUUCGUGCCAGCAGCCGCGGUAAUACGAAAGGGGCAAGCGUUGUUCGGAUUUACUGGGCGUAAAGGGCACGCAGGCGGUCCUGCCAGUCAGGGGUGAAAGCCCGGGGCUCAACCCCGGAACUGCCUCUGAUACUGCAGGACUAGAGACUAGGAGAGGGUGGUGGAAUUCCCAGUGUAGAGGUGAAAUUCGUAGAUAUUGGGAGGAACACCAGAGGCGAAGGCGGGCAUCCUGGACUAGAUCUGACGCUCAUGNGCGAAAGCGUGGGGAGCCACCAGGAAUAGAUACCCUGGUAGUNGACGCGGUAAACGAUGANGGCUAGCUUGUCGGGAAUUCGAUUUUCGGGUGACGCAGACCUAACGCAUUUAAGCACCUCCGCCC